rfam:Triticum aestivum genome assembly, contig: Triticum_aestivum_CS42_TGACv1_scaffold_211593_3AS
ACACUACUCCCUCCGUUCGGAAUUACUUGUCUUGAGAAUGGAUAUAUCUAGAAUUAAAAUAUGUCUAGAUACAUCCAUAUCUGCGACAAGUAAUUCCGAACGGAGGGAGUAUAUA